rnacentral:misc_RNA from 1 species
UUUGAAUGUAAUUAUAAAGUAUUUGAUUUCGAAGGCUUAGUUCCUAUCUCUUCCUUUUCUCUUCUUCCUUUUCUCCUGCUGCUACAGUACCUGGGUGCUGUUCACAGCCUUCUAAAUCCUAAUUUAUUUUCUAUCUGAAUUCCCUGCACAUAAUCAUUCUUUUUCUUGUGAUCUCAUUUUCCAUAUUUCAACUUUUUGUCUUCUCUUUUUGCUCUACUUGCAUCUGUCUAGCAUUG